rnacentral:rRNA from 1 species
UGGGGAAUUUUGGACAAUGGGCGAAAGCCUGAUCCAGCAAUGCCGCGUGUGUGAAGAAGGCCUUCGGGUUGUAAAGCACUUUUGUCCGGAAAGAAAUCCUCUGGGUUAAUACCUCGGGGGGAUGACGGUACCGGAAGAAUAAGCACCGGCUAACUACGUGCCAGCAGCCGCGGUAAUACGUAGGGUGCAAGCGUUAAUCGGAAUUACUGGGCGUAAAGCGUGCGCAGGCGGUUUUGUAAGACGGAUGUGAAAUCCCCGGGCUUAACCUGGGAACUGCAUUCGUGACUGCAAGGCUAGAGUAUGGCAGAGGGGGGUAGAAUUCCACGUGUAGCAGUGAAAUGCGUAGAGAUGUGGAGGAAUACCGAUGGCGGAGGCAGCCCCCUGGGCCAAUACUGACGCUCAUGCACGAAAGCGUGGGGAGCAAACA